CUUUAAGAGGGUGGGUAGGAUAAUUACACAGGUGUUUAAAGUCUCGCGACACUGAGAAUCUAUCGUUUGAUCCCGUUCCCUCUGGUAUGUGUGUGCGUUGGAAGGACUGCUGCGACUAGUCUGUUAUACGAUCUUGUUAAAAAUUAUCGUUCUAUUUCGUUUCCUCUGGUAUGCCUGUGCCCUAAAGGUCGCUGUGGAUACUCUGCCUCUUCAAUUUGGUGGAGUUAGCGACUUUAGUGAUUGCUGGGCAUUCUUAAGGGGUGUCCUGUAUCAGGUAAAGAUGCUGCAGUGGUGUUUUAAGAGUUGAACGUAUAAUUACGAGAUAUCGUGUAAAUUAAGUGUGUUGCUACAGUUCCUAAAAGUAGACGCACCGCUUUCCAGAACAGGAUGUGUAGCAAAUAACCAAUUGCUCGAUAACACCUGAUAUCACUAGCCAGCUUCGUUCAUAUUGGACAAAGGGGUAAAAGCUUCUCUUCAAAUGAGGUAGCCAGGUUAAUCUGGCUGUUUUAAAAGGAGGAGUACUUUUGGCUGUUGAUUGGGCAACCACUGUUUCUUUCCUUUUGUAUUUUUCCAUUUAUUUUCUUUUUAAGUUUGAUCUCCCUCUACUUGGGUUUGCGCUGUGGGUUUGUGUAGGAAUUGAGUUCUUGUGUAUUGGGUGUUUGCUUAUUUGUUUAUUCUUUGGAUUUGAGGUGCGAUCGGAAUAUUUUUCAUACAGGUUUAUUUUUGAUGUGAUUUUUGUGUUUAAUUCUUUUUUUAAUAAAUGCCAGAACCCAUUCCUUUAUGCCCAGUGGGUGUUUAAAUCUGAACCAGUAGGGGGGGAAUCUGUUGACAGUCUUUUUAUAUGUGAAGCUCGUAUUUUAUCAUUGCUGUUAAAUAAAUUGUAAACUCCUUUGUACUCUGGCUUCUAAUUCAUUCACUUGAAUUGCUUGAGCGGGUUGUCUUAUUUCUCCCACUAAGUUGCUAAAGUGGGGGUGGCGUAGUCACUCUUAGGAUAUAAAUUCCUAAUUUGGAUAAUUCAACUAUGGUUCACAUGCCUUUGGUCACAUAAGGAUCAGGAUCUCAUCUCAUAUCAGUAUUUCACAAUACUUUUUCUCCUUCCUGACUGAUUUACUAAUACAGUGUUGCUGCGUACAUAAAUGAAGAAGCCUCCCUCUGCUGGUCAGAUUGUGUUGUCAGAAAUUAAAAACAAAAAACGUAUAAAUUCAAAAAGAAACCAUCUAAAUGUUUUUGAAAAAUAAAAAUAUUUACUACUUGAA